AAAUACCACCCUGAUUACUUUUGGCUUCUAACCACGGUCCAUAACCUGGACCUGGGACAUUGUCUGGUGGGUAGUUUGACUGGGGCGGUCGCCUCCCAAAGAGUAACGGAGGCGCGCUAAGGUUCCCUCAAGCUGAUUGGAAAUCAGCUGUAGAGUGCAAAGGCAUAAGGGAGCUUGACUGCGAGACUGACGGGUCGAGCAGGUACGAAAGUAGGUCUUAGUGAUCCGGUGGUUCCUCAUGGGAGGGCCAUCGCUCAACGAAUAAAAGGUACGCUGGGGAUAACAGGCUUAUCUCCUCCAAGAGCUCAUAUCGACGAGGAGGUUUGGCACCUCGAUGUCGGCUCAUCACAUCCUGGGGCUGUAGCAGGUCCCAAGGGUUUGGCUGUUCGCCAAUUAAAGUGGUACGCGAGCUGGGUUUAGAACGUCGUGAGACAGUUCGGUCCCUAUCUGUUGUGGGCGUAGGAUAUUUGAAGGGAGCUGUCCCUAGUACGAGAGGACCGGGAUGGACGAACCUCUGGUGUUCCAGUUAUCACGCCAGUGGUAAUGGCUGGGUAGCUAUGUUCGGAAGGGAUAACCGCUGAAAGCAUCUAAGUGGGAAGCCCCCCCUAAGAAAAGAUAUCCCCUGUGGUAACACAGCUAAAGAUCCCUCAUAGACUAUGAGGUUGAUAGGUCAGGUGUGUAAGCAUAGCAAUAUGUUUAGCUUACUGAUACUAAUAGAUCGUGAGACUUAAUCAU
rnacentral:rRNA from 1 species